rnacentral:tRNA from 1 species
GUUAUGGUUCAGUGGUACAACGCUUGCCUAGCAUGUAUGAGGCACUGGGUUCAAUUCUCAGCAUCACA